AAGAGUGGCGAACGGGUGAGUAACACGUGGGUAACCUACCUCUUAGCAGGGGAUAACAUUUGGAAACAAGUGCUAAUACCGUAUAAUACCAACAACCGCAUGGUUGUUGAUUGAAAGAUGGUUCUGCUAUCACUAAGAGAUGGACCCGCGGUGCAUUAGCUAGUUGGUAAGGUAACGGCUUACCAAGGCGAUGAUGCAUAGCCGAGUUGAGAGACUGAUCGGCCACAAUGGGACUGAGACACGGCCCAUACUCCUACGGGAGGCAGCAGUAGGGAAUCUUCCACAAUGGGCGCAAGCCUGAUGGAGCAACGCCGCGUGUGUGAUGAAGGGUUUCGGCUCGUAAAACACUGUUAUAAGAGAAGAACGGCACUGAGAGUAACUGUUCAGUGUGUGACGGUAUCUUACCAGAAAGGAACGGCUAAAUACGUGCCAGCAGCCGCGGUAAUACGUAUGUUCCAAGCGUUAUCCGGAUUUAUUGGGCGUAAAGCGAGCGCAGACGGUUAUUUAAGUCUGAAGUGAAAGCCCUCAGCUCAACUGAGGAAUGGCUUUGGAAACUGGAUGACUUGAGUGCAGUAGAGGAAAGUGGAACUCCAUGUGUAGCG
rnacentral:rRNA from 1 species